rfam:Caenorhabditis japonica strain DF5081 Contig16488.2, whole genome shotgun sequence.
AAAAUAGCGGGGAAAGAAGACCCUGUUGAGCUUGAAUCUAGUUUGACAUUGUGAAGAGUCAUGAGAGGUGUAGAAUAAGUGGGAGUCUUCGGACGCCAGUGAAAUACUACCACUUUUAUCGACUCUUUACUUAUUCGGUUAAAAGAGAAUUGGUCGCAAGGCCUCUUUUCGAAGCAUCAAACGGAGCCAUUUUAUGGCAUCGUGACUCUCCUCAAAGACAGUGUCAAGCGGGGAGUUCGACUGGGACGGUACAUCUAUCAAAUCGUAACGUGCAGUACCGGACAAAAAGAUAUCAUAUUUUGGUUUUUGACGUAUACCUUUUGAAUGGAGAGGGUUAUGGUUCUGAAAAUUUGCAUGAAUCUGUCCUGUAAUGUUUUCGACAAGCUCCAAAAAUGGAUUUGGUCAUUUUUUAAACUGCAGAUUU